UUUAUAUGGAGAGUGUAGG
rnacentral:snRNA from 1 species